rnacentral:rRNA from 1 species
ACUCCUGCGGGAGGCAGCAGUGGGGAAUAUUGGACAAUGGGCGCAAGCCUGAUCCAGCCAUGCCGCGUGAGUGAUGAAGGCCCUAGGGUUGUAAAGCUCUUUCACCGGUGAAGAUAAGGACGGUAACCGGAGAAGAAGCCCCGGCUAACUUCGUGCCAGCAGCCGCGGUAAUACGAAGGGGGCUAGCGUUGUUCGGAUUUACUGGGCGUAAAGCGCACGUAGGCGGACUAUUAAGUCAGGGGUGAAAUCCCGGGGCUCAACCCCGGAACUGCCUUUGAUACUGGUAGUCUUGAGUUCGAGAGAGGUGAGUGGAAUUCCGAGUGUAGAGGUGAAAUUCGUAGAUAUUCGGAGGAACACCAGUGGCGAAGGCGGCUCACUGGCUCGAUACUGACGCUGAGGUGCGAAAGCGUGGGGAGCAAACAGGAUUAGAAACCCGUGUAGUCCCA